rnacentral:lncRNA from 1 species
CGAUGAUUUUUUACAACUACACUCCUUAACCCUAUAUGAAAACAAUGAACUAAUUUGAUCGUCAAUUUAAAAUAUUUACACAAGUGGAUACCACAAAAGAAAAAGGCAAUGCAAGAACCCCAAAAGAAAAGCAAAGGGGAAAAAAAAAAACUUUGCGCAACAUAGGUGCACCUGCGUCUCGCAAAACAUCUUUGUGCAACGAAGAACUAUGUUGUGCAAAGCUAGGAAAAAAGUAGUAAAGCAUUCUUGGUUUGGUGCCAAAAUUUUGCGCAACGCACAAAACAUCGCUCAACUGUCCUUUGCGCAAUGACACUUCGCGCGACGAAGACUGGCGUCACACAAAACUGUUUUGCAUGACAAAUGUGCACCUACACCGCGCAAAGAUGUUUUGUGCGACGCCAUUCUUCAUCACGCAAACUGUCGUCGCACAAACAGACUUUGUGCGACGAAAUUUGCUGCGUUGUGCAAACAAGCUUUUGUACUAGUGGCAGUUACAAAUCAGGGUAAAUGAGGCAUUUCACCAAUGCAAAAUAUCUAACAAUAAUAAUAGGUUACUGAUACAAUGACAGUUAAGAGCAUAUUCAAAAGAGAUAUCAAAUACAAAACAUCAAAUUUAAAUUUGAGUGGCUUAUGUGGAAAUUUGGAAUCAUGCAAAACUUCUUACUUACAAGUUCAUAUGUUAUGCGCCUAUUUUGUGUGUAGCCUGUAUAUGUCAAAAUGUUUCAUUUUAUAUUAGGGAAUUGUUAUUAACACUCCCAAAAUCUCAUUCUACACUCUUUACAAAAGUAAAAAUUUCUAAUUAUAAAAAAUUUAGAAUGCAAACCAAGAAUUUUUUUAGUACCAAUAACAAUGCUCUUAUAUUAUUUUCUUUUGUAAUAUUUAUUAGUUAUUUAUUAAAGAAGGUUGAAAGUAACAAUUUCACAUAAACAAAAUAAGUUGUAUUCAUUGUGGGUCCUACCAUUAAUCGAAUUAAAAAUAAUUUGGCAUCCAUCUCUCUUCUUGUCAUUUUUUACGCUGGGAGCACCUUCUUCAAUCCAACUUAGCAUUUGGCUCCACGGUUGAAGCCACUUUUGCUGUUAAAACUAUCCGUUUUUGUCCACCUAGCAUUUUUGACAUUUUCAUUAAAGGAAGUUUUAACGAAAAAUCUGUGGUACUGUUCAUUUUAACGAAAAACCACAUUUUUACACUAAAAAGUCAAUUAUGUUACUAUUCACUUUACCAUUUAUUUGGUCCUUAUCGUUAAAACUCAAAGUUUUCAAACCAUUUUCAUUAGUUUUCCUUAAAACAAAAGGUUAAACACAUUUAUCCUAACAUGAGACUAUGACAUGUGAAAUGCAAAUGCAAAAAAAAAUUCAAUACCUUAACUUGCAGUUUGACUUGAAUAUUUGGGUAGACUUUAUAACUCGUUGCAAAAGCAACCCUCCAAAAAUUCCAACCUAAUUAAACUAUGGAAAACUAAUGAAAAGGGCUUGAAAACUUUGAGUUUUAAUUAUAAGGACAAAAUAAAGGGUAAAGUGAAUAGUAUCAGGAUUGACUUUUUAGUGUAAAAAUGUGGUUUUUCGUUAAAGUGAACAGUACCGAGUGAUUUUCGUUAAAGUUCCCAUUAAAUAUUAAUUGUGUGUAAGUGAUCAUUUAAGUGGCUCAACCAGCUCUCCUAUUGGCCAACUCUAUCUUGCAGUCUAGACAUAGAAGUCCAAAAGUCUUUAUGCUAAGGUCAUCCAAAUUUAUAACACUAAACUAG